ACGCACGCUGGCGGCGUGCCUAAUACAUGCAAGUCGAACGCUUCUUUCCUCCCGAGUGCUUGCACUCAAUUGGAAAGAGGAGUGGCGGACGGGUGAGUAACACGUGGGUAACCUACCCAUCAGAGGGGGAUAACACUUGGAAACAGGUGCUAAUACCGCAUAACAGUUUAUGCCGCAUGGCAUAAGAGUGAAAGGCGCUUUCGGGUGUCGCUGAUGGAUGGACCCGCGGUGCAUUAGCUAGUUGGUGAGGUAACGGCUCACCAAGGCCACGAUGCAUAGCCGACCUGAGAGGGUGAUCGGCCACACCGGGACUGGAACACGGCCCAGACCCCUACGGGAAGCAGCAGUAGGGAAUCUUCGGCAAUGGACGGAAGUUUGGCCGAGCCACCCCGCGUGGAGGAAGAAAGUUUUCGGGUCCUAAAACCCUGGUGUUAGGGAAGAAAAAAGGCCUUAGUUACCGAACGUCCCCUGACGGUAUCUAACCAGAAAGCCACGGCUAACUACGUG
rnacentral:rRNA from 1 species